rnacentral:lncRNA from 1 species
UUUCCCCGGCCGCGUGUUUACGUGGAGAUGAAGAUGGCGGCGCCGGGGGCCCCUGCGCGGCCUGCUGCCGUCGCCGUGAGGCGCCAUGGAGGACGAGGAGCGGCUGAAGAAGCUGGAGGCUGGGAAAGCCAAGGGCUGUGAGAUACCGACUUCAUACAGUCCAAAGAACAGUGGAGUAGCUCUGCGGAAAGCAACUCAUGCUUUUAGAGUAUCCAAAUCUUCGUUUUAAAAUUCAUUUUCAAGGGUUGGUAUCCAAUCCUCUCUGAUGGGUCCAGAUUUUCAAAACACUGCCAUGAGGUGUGAAUGCAUGCUGAAGGCACGGUAUAGGCAAGACAGUGAAGUUUUCAAGUUUGUCUUCAAAAAGUUCGUGAGAAAAUUAUAUGACUCAUGUUGGAGACAAGCAGUGUAACAAAGUGAGCAAUAAAAGCUUUUUUCUUGU